GAAUUGUCUUUCUAUAUUUUCUUGUAGCUCAGUGAGCUUCCUUAAAACAACUAUUUUGAAUUCUUUGUCAGGUAAAUGACAGGGCUUUAUUUCUUUGGGGUUGGUUACUGGACCCUUAUUAAGGCCCUCCCCUUUCACUGAUCCCCACAAGUCCCUCCCCAGCCUUCCUGGUUCAGCUGAAGGCCUUUGUGCACCCAGUGAAAUGCAGUUAUAGUGAGCCCGCUGGUGCCACCUGGUCCUGCGGAGCAGAAAAUCAGUGGCCUGAGGAGGACUGGGAAUCAGCUGCAGGUGGGAGUAGUGCAAGAAGUACACUGUAUGUGCAAGUAUACCCAGGUAAGGGGACUUGGUCAAGUAGAUGAUGGAGAUGUGCAAACUGCUGUGGCAUUCUCUGCAUGGGAUUCAAAUCAAGAGGGUAUCUGACACCUCCUGGCCUUUAGAAAAAUCAUACCCAAAAUACCUGGUGAGCUUAGAGGAUGGCCUGGAGGUGCCUUGGGGAGAGCAGAGGCCACCCUGGCUGCAGGUCUGUCCCUGGCCUCCAGCUGGGUGAGACCUCAGAGACUGGACUGCUUUUCCUGGGGCACUUUUCCCCUCCCAUGCUCUUCUCCAUCUUUUCUUCCACGUUUGCAGGGGUGGGCGAUAGUUCUUAUAAGGUGCUUAAUUCUUCCAACUCUUGUAAUAAAAUUGAUGCUCCAAAACCUGUAUCACAGAUACACUGUUUUCAUCCUUCCUGCACAGAAUUGGGGCUGUGCAUGCUCCAGCUUGAGAGCAUGUAGUGAUGUAGUACUUGGAGUUAAUCAGAACAACUAAACAGAAAAAUGACUGAAGAGAAUUAUCCUAGUAAUCUCCAAUAGCAAUGAAUGUGGUCCUGAAGGGACAAGGCUGUGAGCCAUAUUGCAGGGCAGAAAGGCAACAACUGUGUACUAACAUUACCACACAUUUUCAGAAGAACCAAGGGAAAUUUCUGAUCCUAUGACCUUUAUUAUCUAAAACCAAGAGGUCCAUAAUAGGAUAACAAAGUCCUGUGAGCCAGCCUGUGUGGGGAGUCAGAGAAGUGGCAUGGGUUUGGGCCCCCAAAGUGGGCUAAGUGUCACUUCCAUGUGCAGCUGAGUUUUCUGACUGUAAUGAAGAGUUGGGCCUGUCCACUGUGAUGAUUGCGCCUUUUACAUCAGUAGCACAGAGCAGUAACUCUAAGAGUCCUGACCGAGGUAUGAGCUGUUCAGCCUGCUCAAGGUUCCAAGGGAGCUCCACGGGAAGCCAGACCUCCUGGGGUUCCAGAGGGAGCAUUCAUGAUAUCUAUCAAGAAGCUUCCUGAGGAACAUCCAGGAGGCCCCUGGCUGCUUCCCAUGAGGCUGAGUUGCACUGCGUGCAGUCUUUCAACAUUCUCAUGAGAUGGCCCAGGGACAGUCCUGGCAUCUGACCAGUCAGAGAAGAUUUUCCUUCACCCACUGAAUGCAGGGCCAGGAGAAUUUCCCACAGAUACUCUGUCCAUGAGGUUUACUCUGUUCUGGGAACUUGGCCAAACUCCACUGGGCUCUCCGAGAUGAAUCAGACAUAGAUCCAACCUGAAGAGCAUGGUCCAGCUGGGAAGACAAGACAGGAAGCUAACUACAGUACAGUCACCUGUUCACAGGUACAGAGGAAGGACAUGCCCAGCACAGCAGACACUCACCUGCUGCUGGCAGCAUCAGGACAGUGUUUUGAAGGAGGUGGCAUCUAGCUGGGCCCCAGUGCAUGGCUCUGACCUCAAGAAAUGGACAGGAGGCAUUCUAAACAGAAGGAAGCUGGAGUGUUAGGCACACACAAGAGAGGUGGGGAGCGAGGCUAGGGAGUGGGGGUAGGACAAGCACACCUUGUUUCAGUGACCGCUUCCCACUAGUGCAUUUUGCUCUGUGUAUCCAAACUUACAUAUCCCCCAGCUCAGGCCUGAAAAGCAGCCAGCUUUGAUAAUACAACACUCUGCUAACAAGACUUUCUCCUUCUCUUCUGUGAGCUUUGGGCCUUAGCUGGCUGGGCCGGUGGCUGCCUCUGGUCUCCUUCAGUAGUCCAAGCUCAGUUCUGCAGGAAGGGCUUUGGGGUUUGUUCUAAGGAGCAGGGGAUCCACUGGAGAGGUUGGGGAGGGAGUGACAUGAUUGACUUCCAUUGGAGAGGAUGUCUCCGGCUGCAUGUGCACAGUGGGCUCUGGGUGGGAGAGUGGAAGUCAGAGCCCCUCCCCCCACCCCCGGAGGAGGAGGUCACUGGUCAUCUGAGAAAGAAGACCUAGUCUGGACCGGAAAUUUGGGGGGGGGCAGGAGGGGGAGAGCAUGGAUGAGCAGAGAAGGGAUGGAGUAGGGAGGGGAGGGGACGGGAGGCAUUAGAAGGUAGCCCCUGCAACUGGUUGAGGAAGUGGCUGCCCAGUGAGAGAGAAAAGGAAGAAUCAAGAGCAAGUUUUUUAUUUUUGACUUGAACUGGGAAGAUAGUGGUACUUUUUACUGAGAUAGAGAAGAAACAAGAUUUGAGGGAGAAAACCAAGAGUCCCCUUUGGAAUCCAGGAAGUCUAACAGCCCUCAUUAGAAAGUUCUAUUUUAUUCCCCCAUGGUGCCAAAACUCCUUCAAAAGUAGGUUUUUAAGCAAUAUAGUAUUUAUUGUAUAGUACAUUCUGAUUGUCUUUACAGUUUUCUUAUUAAUAGGGCAUUUAAGCUGCUUCCAAUUUUCAGUCAUUAUACAUAAUGCUGUAGUAAGCAUUUUGUACAUAAAUCUUUGCCAGCACCUUUGGUUAUUUUCUUCCUCUAAAUUCCCAGAAGUAAAAUUACUAGGUAAAAGGCUAUGAACAUUUCACAUUGUUUUUGCUGAGGAAGAUUAGCCCUGAGCUAACAUCUGUGCCAAUCUUCCUCCGCUUUGUAUGUGGGAUGCCUCCACAGCAUGGCUGACGAGUGAUUUAAGUCCAUGCCUGGGACCCAGCCCCAUGAACCUAGGACACCAAAGCAGAGCUCACUGGAUUUAAACACUAUGCCUCAGGGCUGGCUCCUACAUUUUUAUUUAAUACAUAUUGGCAAAGGAUGCUCCAGAAAAGUGGCACCAUCCAGAGGAUGCACCUAAGAGUGCCGGUCCCACUGCAUCCUCACCACCUUGAUUAGUGCAAGUUUUCUGAAUCCUAGCUGAUUAGAUACGGAAAAUAAUAUACUACUUUCAACUCCAGAUGUAGUACCCAUGGAGGUUCUGGCUGAUGGGGAAUAGAGGAGGAGAAUCUUGCCUAAGUCUUUAAAUCUGGCUUCACUGAAUUGUGGGUGUUUUCUUCCCUGUGACAUUAUCUCAGGGAAUUGAAUGCAGGUGGGUGCCUAUGUUCCUUUCCUCCUGGGGUUUGGAGCCUCCACCUGAGCCCUCCUGCUCCCCUUUGGUACUUCAGUAUUGUUCCCCCACUUCCCUGCCCUGUUGCCUAUGCGAGGCAGAAAUCCUGAGUUAGUAAUCGGGUUCCACCAGUGAUUUGCCAUCAAAUAUAAUAAAAAGCACCCACUGGCCCAUGAUUUUCAGCUUGUUCUUGAAUUAUGAAUUAUUUAAUGCAGCUUAUCUGAUGAACAAUCUCUAAUAAAACAUAAAUUUAGGGUAAGGAGUGGUUGGGUGGUGUGAGGAAAUGUUAAAAGGGGUGUGGCAGAGAGGUCCAGGUGUCUCUCAAUAGCAUUGUCCACUUCUCAGAGCAACCAAACACCUGAAUUUUAGCUGUGCAUGUGGCCACCCGGGACUACAGAGUUCCAAGCCUCCUCUGCAGCUAGGCUAGGUGUGUAACAAAGCUCUCUCUCCAGAAAGGGAAAGGAAACAAUUUGUGAGGAUUCUAGGAUAUUUCUAGGAGAGAGAAGCAGGCCCUUCUUUCUGCUUCCUCUGUCCUGCUGCUGGGAGCAUGAGCUCGGAAGCUGGAGCUCCGUCCUGAUGCACAUUGAUGAGGGCAACUCCUCUGGAAUGACAGGGCAACACGGAGAGGAGGCUCCUGGAGCAGCCCUGCCAGACCAAUGUUAGACCGUUUGCCUCCAGACUGAGUGUAUGAGAGGGGCUAGCUCUGUGCACCGCUCUUCUGUGGGGCCCUUUGUUACAGCAGCUGGACCUUGAUCAGGAUGGCGGUCUUGGAGGGGACUUUCUGUGGGCUUCUGGGACAAGCUGCUCCCGGGGUCACAUCUGUCUGAAAUUUUCAGCCCUGCUUUCCAUGGGGUGUCAGCCAAGCUCCGCUUCCACCCACCCCCUCUCCAGGCACUUCUCUGGAAAUCUAAUGCAUGAAGGUUGAUUCCCGCAAGUAAACAAGUCUGGAGCUGGUGUCUCCCAGGCCCACCCACUUCUCCCAAAGAUGCACCUUGUUCUGAAAUGGGCUGGGCUAUUUCCCUGCUAAUAUCUGCAGAUUCUCAUUAUAUAACUCAGGGAACGGGCUGUCUCAUGUGUAGUAUAACUUGAUUAUUGCUAGAAAGUUGAGUUUGGAACUGACGAGUUCCUUGCUAAACUGACAAAUCUGAAAGCUGAAUUUGAAAAACUAAGCAAUGCCACUUGCAGGAUGAAAGCAGUGACUGGGAAUCGGUGAAAGCUUGUCCCGUGUUCUCAGUUUGGGGAAAGAUAUUUAGGACUUCCCAGGUGUCUGGUCUUGUCCAUGUAAUUUCUGAUAUGCCCUCCACUCUUAUGAAGCUUGCGAUUUUAAGAGGAAAAGGAACUAAUUCUAAUAUAUAUUAAAAAUAUUAAACUGGAAAAUAUUAUGAAAAGACGUAUAGUUCAUUCAUCAUUUGUUCAUUCUUCAAAGUGCCUAAUUGGUGCUUUGUCAUUCAUUACUAUUUUAAAAUAUCAUGUAUUUAUAGUGUAUAUAGUAAGGUCAACAGAUCAGGAGACAAUCACCACCGAAAAGAGAGUUUUUCUCAGAGUCCCCAGAGGAGGGCACACGCUACAUUGGGAAUGGCCACACAGGGAAACACCAGGGUGGUCGGGAGGCAGAGAGGGUUGGGGGGAAUGUGGGCAAGAGUCUUUAUUGAGGUUUCCUCAGGAAUUAAUAGCGAGGCAGGGUAAGCAGGCUUAAGAUUGGUUGGUUUGAAUAAUUUCAGGACUCUGGGGCAUAAGGGCUGUCCCUCAUUUUCCGGUAUGUGGCCCUAGGUGAUUGGGGCAGGUGAAUAGAGGACCAGAGUGUGAGAGUCUGAUAGAAGAAGUGGUUGGGGGUAUAGACACUGGAUUGGUGGGUUUGCAUUUGAAAAGUGCACCCCUUGCAGAAGGAUUCCUCACAAGAUGGGGCUGCAGACAACUGUCUUCUUGCUGUAUUCUCACAUGGUAGGAGAAGAGGGCUCUCACCAGUGCACGGGAGACGCUCUCUGGGGUCUCUUUUAUAAGGGCACUAAUCCCGUUUAUGAGGGCUCCACCCUCAUGACCUAAUUAUGUCCCAAAGAUCCCAUCUCCUAGCACCAUCACAAUGGGGGUUAGGGUUUCAGCAUACUCUGAAUAGGCAAAUCCAUACAGAGAGAAACAAGUCAGACUGGUGGCUUCCCCGGGUUUGGGAGAGUGUGGAAUAGGAAGUUUAGUCAGUGCUGAGUUUCUUCCAGUGCCCUCCCCACCACCCCCAGGUUUUAUUGAGAUUUAAUUGACAUACAACAUUGUGUAAGCGUAAGGUGUACAAUGUGAUGAUUUGAUAGAUGGAUACAUCGUGAAACACUUAUUACAAUAAGCGUAACACAUACUUUGUCUCACAUAAUUACUAUUUUGUUGUUUUUACAGCGAGAAUAUUGAAGCUCUGCUCUUGUAGCCACUUUCUAGUACACGAUACAGCGUUGGUCACUGGAGUCACCAUGCUGUAUCAGAUGCCCUGAACCUCACUUUCUUUUUGAGGUGAUGAAAAUGUUCUGGAAUAAUGGUGAUGGUUGCAUAAUUUUGUGAAUAGACUAUGAAUAACUGAGUUGUAUACUUUUAAAAGAGUAAAUUUAUAGUAUGUGAAUUAUAUCUCAAUUUCUAAGAUUGUAUGGAUAAAUAAAUAAAGCAUUUUGAAAAAAAGAGUUAAUAAGAGAAACCCUAUUAUUCUGAGUCCUUUAUUUGGCUCCCACACUGCUAGCCUCUGGAGACGAGCCAAGACCACCCAACUCAGAAGGAGCACUGUUUCUCAGAGCUAGCUCUAAAGCUGCCACCACUCAGAGUUUCCAGAGACUCAAAGGCAGGUGGAGUUGGCAAGCUUUCUUGCGGAAAAAAAGAAGAUGCAGUCCUGAUCAGAGCUUGUGAGGGGGGAAGCUGGAGGCCGGGCAGCUAGACCUGGGCCAUCUUAUGUGAUUACUUAGGGGAACAUGUUCGUCGUUCCCUACUUGUUCCUAAAUUAGAAGUGGGAUUAAAAAUGAGGGAAACUGUCAGUCAUUGACCAAAUCUUCCCCUUUGGGGCGGAGUGCUGUGAGGGCUGUGGUCUGGUUUUCUGGUUGCCGAAGGCUGUGGGUCAGGGCCCACUCCUCUCCCAGGUUAGAGCAAGAAGUCCCCGGCUCUCAGGCCGACUUAGCAAAUUCCGCACACUGAACCCCUCUUUCAUCUUCUUCAAUCAGAUAGUCUUUGUGGAUAGAGAAAUUUUAUUCA